AGAGUUUGAUCAUGGCUCAGGAUGAACGCUGGCGGCGUGCCUAAUACAUGCAAGUCGAGCGAACAGACGAGGAGCUUGCUCCUCUGACGUUAGCGGCGGACGGGUGAGUAACACGUGGAUAACCUACCUAUAAGACUGGGAUAACUUCGGGAAACCGGAGCUAAUACCGGAUAAUAUAUUGAACCGCAUGGUUCAAUAGUGAAAGACGGUUUUGCUGUCACUUAUAGAUGGAUCCGCGCCGCAUUAGCUAGUUGGUAAGGUAACAGCUUACCAAGGCAACGAUGCGUAGCCGACCUGAGAGGGUGAUCGGCCACACUGGAACUGAGACACGGUCCAGACUCCUACGGGAGGCAGCAGUAGGGAAUCUUCCGCAAUGGGCGAAAGCCUGACGGAGCAACGCCGCGUGAGUGAUGAAGGUCUUCGGAUCGUAAAACUCUGUUAUUAGGGAAGAACAAAUGUGUAAGUAACUAUGCACGUCUUGACGGUACCUAAUCAGAAAGCCACGGCUAACUACGUGCCAGCAGCCGCGGUAAUACGUAGGUGGCAAGCGUUAUCCGGAAUUAUUGGGCGUAAAGCGCGCGUAGGCGGUUUUUUAAGUCUGAUGUGAAAGCCCACGGCUCAACCGUGGAGGGUCAUUGGAAACUGGAAAACUUGAGUGCAGAAGAGGAAAGUGGAAUUCCAUGUGUAGCGGUGAAAUGCGCAGAGAUAUGGAGGAACACCAGUGGCGAAGGCGACUUUCUGGUCUGUAACUGACGCUGAUGUGCGAAAGCGUGGGGAUCAAACAGGAUUAGAUACCCUGGUAGUCCACGCCGUAAACGAUGAGUGCUAAGUGUUAGGGGGUUUCCGCCCCUUAGUGCUGCAGCUAACGCAUUAAGCACUCCGCCUGGGGAGUACGACCGCAAGGUUGAAACUCAAAGGAAUUGACGGGGGCCCGCACAAG
rnacentral:rRNA from 1 species